rnacentral:rRNA from 1 species
UACGGAGGGUGCGAGCGUUGUCCGGAAUCAUUGGGCGUAAAGCGCGUGUAGGCGGCCCGGUAAGUCCGCUGUGAAAUCCCUCGGCUCAACUGAGGAACUGCCUUUGAAACUGCAGGGCUUGAGGCCGGGAGGGGGUAGCGGAAUUCCCAAUGUAGCGGUGAAAUGCGUAGAUAUUGGGAGGAACACCAGUGGCGAAGGCGACUCGCUGGACAAGUAUUGACGCUGAGGUGCGAAAGCGUGGGGAGCAAACAGG